GUUUCGGUCACCUCCCUCCGCGGCAUUCCGCCGCUCACCGGCACUUUCCCUGCAGGACAGGUGUUCUGAGGUGAGGGCAGAGACGGACCUGCUGUAUGACCGCACGUGUACCCAUGGCUAGGAUGAACAGGGCUGGGAUGAACAGAAACUGUGCAGGAGUUCCUACCCACAAGGAGACGGUUUCCAAAGGUGUCGCAGGAGAACGAGCGGGACUGUGCAGACACAUCCAGCCGAGCGUGACCUACCUAGAGAUGAGCUCCAGCAGCUUCACGAACAUCCGAUAGCAAACCUGCACGGAGGAGGUCUUGAGCCCUCCCUCACUAGCGAUAUUGUAUAAACUGAAUAUAACAUGUGGGUAAUCACAUUCCAUCACCAAGG
rnacentral:lncRNA from 1 species